UUCAGACAAUUCUGGUUGCAUUUUAAGAAGAACUUCAAGAAGAACCUGAGAGAGAUUCACAGGUAGAGAGGAACAGAACAGAUGAGAACGUCUUUCCAGAACAGUGUGCAUUGUCCCCUAUAAAACACAGAGAUCUCAGUAUUCAUCUACACAAAAAGCAGCAACAUCAGAGACAACUGCAGCUGCUGGGAAUAUGCCCUUCAAACAUUACUGCUGCCUUUCAAUGUAUUUUCUCUCGCCUCUCUACCUAUGUGUGUGUGUGUGUGUGUGUGUGUGUGUGUGUGUGAGAGAGAGAAAGAGAGAGAGAGAGAGAGAGAGAGAGAGAGAGAGAUGUGGGUGUUUCUGCUUGUAGUACUGUACUCAUGAAGUCUACUAUAGGCUAUAAUAUAUACAGUACUAUUGCUUAUAGUGUGUUUGUGUGUGUGUGUGUGAGAGAGAGAGAGAGAGAGUUGUAUCUUUGUGUGUAUUUCUCUGCAUCUUUCCUGAACAGAGAAGUGAAGACAUGAGAGAAGACCCAUGGGGACCACGCUAUCCCACAAUACCUUGCCCAGGCCCCUUGGGAGGUGCACAGAAGAGAGGACAGCCUGAGCUCACACUCACCAAGAAAGAUGCUGUUUCCAUGACUGGCAGGACACACAAAUAGAAAGAAGGCCAGGACUGAAGCCUGGGGAUCGAUUAACACGCCUGCCCAGUGGGAAGCCCCCAUUCCAGGCCUCCCAGUUAAGCCCACCUGCCUUCACAGCCGUGGCCCGACAGAAGUUCUCAGCAGGCGCACUGCUACUGCUUGACACACACGCUUUAACUGACACACACUCGCACACACAUGCACACUCACACACACACAAAUGUUAUAGCUGAUAGCUCUUUUAAACGCAGACACCUGACUACAAGAGAAAAUU